GCCGCGAGCUCAAGGAGCAGCUUGCGACAUGGAGCUCAUGAAACUGAACGUGUACUGCUGGUGGAAAACUGUAGAGUGUUUGGGUGCCAAGGUGAUGACGUGAUUUGACCAAGAUGUUAUCAGUACAAGUUGUGCCUUUCCACUGGAGACUUAACUUUGGACACUAAGCUGUUUGGGAUACCACAACAGGC